UGGCGGUUUGUGGCUAAGUGUAGGGGACGAAGAUGCAGUAAUCUAAGGAGAGCUGGGCACCUCUUUGCCUCUCAACCACUACAGCACCUGCAACCUCCUUCAGAGGACUGGAGCUUCAUCAGCUGCAUGAGCAGAGCUGCAAGUGCCUGGGAGUUUAUGCCCUGACCCCAGCCCCCAAGCAGCCUGAAGCCAAUGAUGUCUUGUGCAGGAGUAGGAAAGCUCAGCUCCCUCAAGCGAGGACAAGCUCUAAGGUGCAACCCACACUCUGAAGCCCUCCACAGGAUUAGGCUGAGGCUGAGACUUCACUGGAAAUCCCAUCCUUCCCUGGCUUCUGCCCCUUCCCUGGCCUGCUUCCCCCACUCCCUAGUUCUCCUGGAAGUCCUUCCCCAAUAAAUUAUCAGCAUGCGGA